GUGCAUGGCGCAGAAUCAGACAUCAUUCAAGCAUGUAGAAGGUUGCUGGAUGAGAGGCAAAGUUUGAAUGUCAUGCGCAUUCUUCAAGCAAUUAAUGAGAGGCAUGACCUUACAGACGGCUUGAAGGAGUUACAAUGCAAGACGCUUAUUUUUGUGGGAGAGAGUAGUCAGUUUCGCGACGAAUCUGUGUAUAUGAGUGCCAAAUUGGGGAAGAAAAUAUGUGCUCUUGUUGAGGUUCAAGCAUGCGGCUCACUAGUGACAGAAGAACAC
rnacentral:misc_RNA from 1 species